rnacentral:RNase_P_RNA from 1 species
GGACGGGGAGCCGCUCUUCCGCUUUUGCGGUUGGGAGGAACUUCCGGACUGCACAGGGCAUGAGGCCGGCAAAACCUCUCCCUCCGGGCCUGGUGGCCUGCGGAGCGGCAUAAGCCGGGGUUCCGGGGCAAUAUCCCCGGGGCAUGGAAAGCGCAGCAGAAAACAUACCGCCUGCGGGUAACCGCAGGCAAGGGUGAAAAGGUGCGGUAAGAGCGCACCGCGCCGUUCCGUAAGGACGGCGGCAGUGCAAGCCCCCUCGGCAGCAAGGCCAAGCCGGCGUAUGGACUGCCCGUCCGCGCGAAAGCGCAGCGCCAAGUGGGCCGCAACAGAUAAAUGGUUCCCGGUUUUCCCUAUUAGGGAGACUACAGAAUCCGGGGUACAGUCCG